rnacentral:rRNA from 1 species
AUUGAACGCUGGCGGCAUGCCUUACACAUGCAAGUCGAACGGUAACGGGCCUUCGGGUGCCGACGAGUGGCGAACGGGUGAGUAAUGUAUCGGAACGUACCUUUCAGUGGGGGAUAACGUAGCGAAAGUUACGCUAAUACCGCAUAUUCUGUGCGCAGGAAAGCAGGGGAUCGCAAGACCUUGCGCUGAUUGAGCGGCCGAUAUCAGAUUAGCUAGUUGGUGAGGUAAAGGCUCACCAAGGCGACGAUCUGUAGCGGGUCUGAGAGGAUGAUCCGCCACACUGGAACUGAGACACGGUCCAGACUCCUACGGGAGGCAGCAGUGGGGAAUUUUGGACAAUGGGGGCAACCCUGAUCCAGCCAUGCCGCGUGAGUGAAGAAGGCCUUCGGGUUGUAAGCUCUUUCGGCCGGGAAGAAAUCGUAUGGGUUAAUACCCUGUGCGGAUGACGGUACCGGCAUAACGAAGCACCGGCUAACUACGUGCCAGCAGCCGAC